rnacentral:rRNA from 1 species
CCUACGGGAGGCAGCAGUGGGGAAUAUUGGUCAAUGGGCGCAAGGCUGACCCAGCAACGCCGCGUGAAGGAAGAAGGCUCUCUGGUUGUAAACUUCUUUUAAUAAGGACGUAACAAAUUACGGGACUUGAUGUUUAAGUCUCGGCUAUCUAUGUGCCAGCAGCCGCGGUAAUACGUAGGUUGCAAGCGUUAGCCGGAUUUACUGGGUGUAAAGGGUGUGUAGGCGGGACUGUAAGUCAGAGGUGAAAGUCAUGGGCUCAACCAAAGUUUUGCAUUUGAAACUGGAGUUCUUGAGUGUGUGGGAGGUAGGCGGAAUUCGGUGUGUAGCGGUGAAAUGCGUAGAUAUAAGGCAGAACACCAGUGGCGAAGGCAGCUUGCUAAGCAAUAACUGACGCUGAGGCGCGAAAGCGUGGGGAGCAAACAGGAUUAGAUACCCUAGUAGUC